rnacentral:rRNA from 1 species
AGCUCCAACAGUGUAUGCUAAAGUUGUUGCGGUUGAAAAGCUCGUAGUUGGAUUUUGGGCGGGUGCGGUCGGUCCGUCGCAGGGCGUGUACUGGCCGCGCUCGCCUCGACGUCGGUUCUCCGUCGGUGCUCUUGACUGAGUGUCGGCGGUGGCCGAGAAGUUUACUUUGAAAAAAUUAGAGUGUUCAAAGCAGGCUUAGGCCGUUGGAUACAUUAGCAUGGAAUAAUGAGAUAGGGCCACGGCGGUCUAUUUUGUUGGUUUGCACGUUGUGGUAAUGAUUAACAGGAACGGUUGGGGGUAUUCGUAUUCAAUUGUCAGAGGUGAAAUUCUUGGAUUUGUGGAAGACGAACUACUGCGAAAGCAUUUACCAAGGAUGUUUUCAUUAAUCAAGAACGAAAGU